GUUGUAGUUCCGUGGUAAAGCACCUGCCUUGCAUGCCUGAGGCUCUGGGUUCAAUCCUCAGCAUCACA
rnacentral:tRNA from 1 species